rnacentral:rRNA from 1 species
UACGUAGGGAGCAAGCGUUGUCCGGAAUCAUUGGGCGUAAAGCGCGCGUAGGCGGCCUCAUAAGUCCGUUGUGAAAGUCAAAGGCUCAACCUUUGAAAGCCGAUGGAUACUGUGAGGCUAGAGUUCGGAAGAGGCGAGUGGAAUUCCUGGUGUAGCGGUGGAAUGCGCAGAUAUCAGGAGGAACACCAAUAGCGAAGGCAGCUCGCUGGGACGAUACUGACGCUAAGGCGCGAAAGCUAGGGGAGCGAACGGG